UCCACAGGGACCAAUUGCAAUUAGGAUGGCAAAACUGGCAAUCAACCAAGGAAUAGAGGUUGAUUUGUCUACAGGAAUGGCGAUUGAAGAGGCAUGCUAUGCCCAGGUGAUACCAACAAAGGACAGGCUGGAGGGUCUUGCUGCAUUCAAGGAGAAGAGGCCGCCUUGUUUCAAGGGGGAGUAACGGCUUUUCCAACGGACCCUAUCAGAAAAUACUGCCUCAACCUCUCUUACUGUUGCUUCUUGUUCUGUUAUGGGUUGGAAGUAUACAUGCCAAAACACGACGUGUUCAGCGUAAUACCCUUGAAAUGCACGUGUCAAACCAAUAACUGGGCAUAUCUUGGCUCUUAAACCGGCCAGGGAUUUAAAAAGAAUCGUUGGUGAUUAUUGGCAAGUGUCUGAUCUUAACAUCAUGUGGCCAUGACAGCCACUACAUGCCGCCAGUUUUACUAAUCAAAAGCACAUUUCACCAGUUUAUUUGUUCAGAAAUCUUUAUGAAGUCCCAAAACUUUAUGAUGUUGAAUAACCAUGUCAAUAAAGAGGUGGAAAGUGAAAGUGCUAAAAGUGGGUGGUAUAAAACAUGUAUUCGGAAUAAAAGAAAAUAUUAA